AAUUAAUAAAAAUUGCAAAAUUUAGCCAUUGCAUACGAGGCUAGGCAGACAUAGUCUCACAUUCUUGCCUUUGCAAACAGCAUGCACAUUAGUAAGUUCCUUAGUCCGAACUGGGUUGAACUGUGACAAGGAAACAUAUCUAAUGUCAUUCAUCUUGAAACAACAAAAUGGGUAACACAAGGCAAAAUUCCCUCUUAUGUCAAGAUCUGUAUCCCGUGAAUGU
rnacentral:misc_RNA from 1 species